AAAUUGAAGAGUUUGAUCAUGGCUCAGAUUGAACGCUGGCGGCAGGCCUAACACAUGCAAGUCGAACGGUAACAGGAAGAAGCUUGCUUCUUUGCUGACGAGUGGCGGACGGGUGAGUAAUGUCUGGGAAACUGCCUGAUGGAGGGGGGGAUAACUACUGGAAACGGUAGCUAAUACCGCAUAACGUCGCAAGACCAAAGAGGGGGGACCUUCGGGCCUCUUGCCAUCGGAUGUGCCCAGAUGGGAUUAGCUAGUAGGUGGGGUAAAGGCUCACCUAGGCGACGAUCCCUAGCUGGUCUGAGAGGAUGACCAGCCACACUGGAACUGAGACACGGUCCAGACUCCUACGGGAGGCAGCAGUGGGGAAUAUUGCACAAUGGGCGCAAGCCUGAUGCAGCCAUGCCGCGUGUAUGAAGAAGGCCUUCGGGUUGUAAAGUACUUUCAGCGGGGAGGAAGGGAGUAAAGUUAAUACCUUUGCUCAUUGACGUUACCCGCAGAAGAAGCACCGGCUAACUCCGUGCCAGCAGCCGCGGUAAUACGGAGGGUGCAAGCGUUAAUCGGAAUUACUGGGCGUAAAGCGCACGCAGGCGGUUUGUUAAGUCAGAUGUGAAAUCCCCGGGCUCAACACGGGAACUGCAUCUGAUACUGGCAAGCUUGAGUCUCGUAGAGGGGGGGUAGAAUUCGUGGUGUAGCGGUGAAAUGCGUAGAGAUCUGGAGGAAUACCGGUGGCGAAGGCGGCCCCCCGGACGAAGACUGACGCUCAGGUGCGAAAGCGUGGGGAGCAAACAGGAUUAGAUACCACGGUAGUCCACGCCGUAAACGAUGUCGACUUGGAGGUUGUGCCCCUUGAGGCGUGGCUUCCGGAGCUAACGCGUUAAGUCGACCGCCUGGGGAGUACGGCCGCAAGGUUAAAACUCAAAUGAAUUGACGGGGGCCCGCACAAGCGGUGGAGCAUGUGGUUUAAUUCGAUGCAACGCGAAGAACCUUACCUGGUCUUGACAUCCACAGAACCUUGUAGAGAUACGAGGGUGCCUUCGGGAACUGUGAGACAGGUGCUGCAUGGCUGUCGUCAGCUCGUGUUGUGAAAUGUUGGGUUAAGUCCCGCAACGAGCGCAACCCUUAUCCUUUGUUGCCAGCGGUCCGGCCGGGAACUCAAAGGAGACUGCCAGUGAUAAACUGGAGGAAGGUGGGGAUGACGUCAAGUCAUCAUGGCCCCUUACGACCGGGGGCUACACACGUGCUACAAUGGCGCAUACAAAGAGAAGCGACCUCGCGAGAGCAAGCGGACCUCAUAAAGUGCGUCGUAGUCCGGAUUGAGUCUGCAACUCGACUCCAUGAAGUCGGAAUCGCUAGUAAUCGUGGAUCAGAAUGCCACGGUGAAUACGUUCCCGGGCCUUGUACACACCGCCCGUCACACCAUGGGAGUGGGUUGCAAAAGAAGUAGGUAGCUUAACCUUCGGGAGGGCGCUUACCACUUUGUGAUUCAUGACUGGGGUGAAGUCGUAACAAGGUAACCGUAGGGGAACCUGCGGUUGGAUCACCUCCUUACCUUAAAGAAGC
rnacentral:rRNA from 1 species